rnacentral:misc_RNA from 1 species
UUUCCGUAGGUGAACCUGCGGAAGGAUCAUUAUUGUAUAACCGAGGUGCGAGGGCUGUCGCUGACCCGAAAGGUCGUGCACGCCCGAGUGCCCUCACACACAUCCAUCUCACCCCUAUGUGCACCACCGCGUGGGUCCCCCUUUGGCUUGUUCGGAGGGGGGCUUACGUUUUCACACAAACUUUGUAUGCAGUAUAGAGUGUAUUUUUUGUUUUUGCGAUCACGCAAUCAAUACAACUUUCAACAACGGAUCUCUUGGCUCUC